rnacentral:rRNA from 1 species
AGAGUUUGAUCCUGGCUCAGAUUGAACGCUGGCGGGAUGCUUUACACAUGCAAGUCGAACGGCAGCAUAGAGAGCUUGCUCUCUGAUGGCGAGUGGCGAACGGGUGAGUAAUAUAUCGGAACGUGCCCAGUAAUGGGGAAUAACUAGCCGAAAGGUUAGCUAAUACCGCAUACGACCUACGGGUGAAAGCAGGGGAUCUUAGGACCUUGCGUUAUUGGAGCGGCCGAUAUCUGAUUAGCUUGUUGGUGGGGUAAAAGCCUACCAAGGCAACGAUCAGUAGCUGGUCUGAGAGGACGAUCAGCCACACUGGAACUGAGACACGGUCCAGACUCCUACGGGAGGCAGCAGUGGGGAAUUUUGGACAAUGGGGGAAACCCUGAUCCAGCCAUCCCGCGUGAGUGAAGAAGGCCUUCGGGUUGUAAAGCUCUUUCGAAAGUGAAGAAAACUUAUUUCGUAAUAUGUUAUAAGUAUGACGGUAACUUUAGAAGAAGCACCGGCUAACUACGUGCCAGCAGCCGCGGUAAUACGUAGGGUGCGAGCGUUAAUCGGAAUUACUGGGCGUAAAGCGUGCGCAGGCGGUUUUGUAAGUCAGAUGUGAAAUCCCCGAGCUUAACUUGGGAACUGCGUUUGAAACUACAAGACUAGAGUGUGUCAGAGGGGGGUAGAAUUCCACGUGUAGCAGUGAAAUGCGUAGAGAUGUGGAGGAAUACCAAUGGCGAAGGCAGCCCCCUGGGAUAACACUGACGCUCAUGCACGAAAGCGUGGGGAGCGAACAGGAUUAGAUACCCUGGUAGUCCACGCCCU